AUUGAACGCUGGCGGCAGGCCUAACACAUGCAAGUCGAACGAGUGGCGGACGGGUGAGUAAUGUCUGGGAAACUGCCUGAUGGAGGGGGAUAACUACUGGAAACGGUAGCUAAUACCGCAUACCAUCGGAUGUGCCCAGAUGGGCUUAGCUAGUAGGUGGGGUAAAGGCUAACCUAGGCGACGAUCCCUAGCUGGUCUGAGAGGAGGACCACACACACUGGAACUGAGACACGGUCCAUACUCCGACGGUAGGCAGCAGUGGGGAAUCUUGCACAAUUGGCGCAAGCCUGAUGCAGCCAGGCCGUGUGUAUGAAGAAGGCCUUCGGGUUGGAAAGUACUUUCAGCGGGGAGGCGUUACCCGCAGAAUAAGCACCGGCUAACUCCGUGCCAGCAGCCGCGGUAAUAC
rnacentral:rRNA from 1 species